CUCUUGGGGUAGGACUAGACAUGCUAGUUGACGCUUCAGCCAACACGAAGCGUAGCGCACAGCUCAGUAACACGUGGCUAACCUGCCCUUGAGACGAGAACAACCCCGCGAAAGUGGGGCUAACUCUCGAUAGGCGACGAACUCUGGAAUGAGUCACCACCCAAACAGUCCUGUGUUAUGCUCACAGGACCGCUCAAGGAUGGGGCCGCGACCGAUCAGGUCGUUGGUGAGGUAAUGGCUCACCAAGCCUUUAACCGGUGCGGGCCGUGGGAGCGGGAGCCCGGAGAUGGGCACUGAGACAAGGGCCCAGGCCCUACGGGGCGCAGCAGUCGCGAAACCUUUGCAAUAAGCGAAAGCUUGACAGGGCUAUCCCGAGUGCCAUCCGCUGAGGAAGGCUUUUACCCAGUCUAGAACGCUGGGGGAAUAAGGAGAGGGCAAGUCUGGUGUCAGCCGCCGCGGUAAUACCAGCUCUCCGAGUGGUGUGGAUGUUUAUUGGGCCUAAAGCAUCCGUAGCUGGCUAAGUUAGUCCCUUGUUAAAUCCACCGAAUUAAUCGUUGGAUUGCGGGGGAUACUGCUUGGCUAGGGGACGAGAGAGGCAGACGGUAUUUCCGGGGUAGGGGUGAAAUCCUAUAAUCCCGGGAAGACCACCAGUGGCGAAGGCUGUCUGCUAGAACGCGCCCGACGGUGAGGGAUGAAAGCUGGGGGAGCGAACCGGAUUAGAUACCCGGGUAGUCCCAGCUGUAAACGAUGCAGGCUAGGUGUUUGGACGGCCACGUGCCGUUCUAGUGCCGCAGGGAAGCUGUUAAGCCUGCCGCCUGGGGAGUACGAUCGCAAGAUUGAAACUUAAAGGAAUUGGCGGGGGAGCACCACAAGGGGUGAAGCUUGCGGUUUAAUUGGAGUCAACGCCGGG
rnacentral:rRNA from 1 species